AAAGAAACAAGUGAGCAGCCAGCCUCAGUGACACCAAAGCAACCCAGAAGUUCCUUCACUCAGGACAGGUGCCUUUGGAGCCACUCUAUCCGAAGGAAUCAGUCCUACACGCCACAGGGCCUACAAGCUAUGUGAGCCCGGAGAGCAACACUGACCAUACCAGAUUUCAGUGGAAUGAAGCCAUACCUGUCAAGCUGAGAUACAGUUCUAACAGUGUGAUGAAUCUCUUGAUCUGUGCAGGACAUGUGUGCACCAUGUGCUACAGGGCCUGCCCAACCAUCCUGUACAGAGAUAGAGGACAUACACAGUCCUGUAGGUGCCGGGGUCCCUGUCCUGUCACUCAGCUCCAUCACCAAAGCACAGAAGUGCGAAAGCCCUUACAGAGAAACGGGCUUGGAGAGAAAUGGGUGUGGUUGUGUGCUCUGAAAGAUGUGUUUAUAAGGGUCAUGAAAUCUGAAUCUAAGGGUUGGAGAGAUGGACAGGCUAAGUCCGUGGAUAGAGACAGACAGUUAAGGGCACAGGCUGCUCUUCCUGAGGACCUGGGUUCAAUUCUCAGCACCCCCAUGGCAGCUCACAACUGUCUAUAACUCUAGUUCCAGGGGGUUUAACAUCCUCACACAGACAACACUCAGGCAAAACACUAAUACACAUGAAAUAUAAAUAAAUAAAUCAUUAAAAAAAUCUGAAUUUUACAUGAUUUUUCAUACACUGAGAAAUAUUAGAUUUGUUUGCAUUAUUCUCCAGACCUUUAAGAAAUGAAGUUCUGCUGGGCAGUAGUGGCACAUGCCUUUAGUCCCAGCACUCACAAGGCAGAGGCAGGUGGAUUUCUGUGAGUUUCGAGGCCAGUCUAGUCUACAAAGUAAGUUUCAGGAUAGCCUGGGCUGUUACACAGAGAAACCCUGUCUCAAAAAACCAAACCAAUCAAACAAACAAAAACAACCCCUCCCCCCAAAUUAUUUUAUUUGUAUGAGUGUUUUGCCUGCAUGUGUGUAUGUGCACCACGUGCAUGCCUGGUGUUCUUGGAAGUCAGAAGGUAGCCUCAGACCCCCUAGAACUGGAGUUGUGAUUGUGAGCCACCAUGUGGGUGCUGGGAACCAAACCCAGGUCCUCUGCAAGAACAGCUAGUGCUCUCAACUGCUGAGCCAUCUCUCUAACCACCCCCCACCCCUAUGUUUGGCAAUGCUAGAGAUGGAACCCAGGGCUUCAUGCUAAGCAAGCCCUCUACCACUGAGCUACAUCCUGGGCCAUUUUUAAUUUGUUUGUUUAUUUUGUUUUGAGACAACUGGAGAUCUUCCUGCUUCUGUCUCCCAGUAGCUGAGUGAAGGUAUGCUCUACAAUGCUUAGCCUGCUUUGCCAAACUUGUUAAGAAUACAUGAACAGCCGGGCAAUGGUGGCACACGCCUUUAAUCCCAGCAUUUGGGAGGCAGAGCCAGGUGGAUCUCUGUGAGUUCGAGGCCAGCCUGGGCUACCAAGUGAGUUCCAGGAAAGGCGCAAAGUUACACAGAGAAACCCUGUCUCAAAAAAAAACCAAAAAAAAAAAAAAAGAAAGAA